AGUGUAUGUGGUGGAUGCCUUGGCGAUCACAGGCGAUGAAGGACGUAGUAGCUUGCGAUAAGCUGCGGGGAGCCGGCAAACGGGCUUUGAUCCGCAGAUUUCCGAAUGGGGGAACCCACCGACGUAGGUCGGUAUCACGCACUGAAUACAUAGGUGCGUGAGGCGAACGGAGCGAACUGAAACAUCUAAGUAGCUCCAGGAAAAGAAAUCAACCGAGAUUGCGAAAGUAGCGGCGAGCGAAAUUGCAGCAGCCCAGUGUUCUGAUAGCACGAACGACAGCAGAAGGGUCUGGAAAGGCCUGCUAUAGAGGGUGAUAGCCCCGUAUGCGAAAUCGAACGUGUGGUACUAAGGAACCGAUAAGUAGGGCGGGACACGUGACAUCCUGUCUGAAGAUGGGGGGACCAUCCUCCAAGGCUAAAUACUCGUGAUCGACCGAUAGUGAACCAGUACUGUGAAGGAAAGGCGAAAAGAACCCCGGGAGGGGAGUGAAAUAGAACCUGAAACCGCAUACAUACAAACAGUAGGAGCCCCUGCAGUGGGGUGACUGCGUACCUUUUGCAUAAUGGGUCAGCGACUUACGUUUUGUGGCGAGCUUAACCGAGUAGGGGAGGCGUAGCGAAAGCGAGUUCGAAUAGAGCGAAGAGUCUCAAGGCGUAGACCCGAAACCAGAUGAGCUAUCCAUGGCCAGGUUGAAGGUGUGGUAACACACACUGGAGGACCGAACCGACUAGUGUUGCAAAAUUAGCGGAUGAGCUGUGGAUAGGGGUGAAAGGCUUAACAAAUCUGGAGAUAGCUGGUUCUCCCCGAAAACUAUUGAGGUAGUGCCUCGUGUAUUGCUCCAGGGGGUAGAGCACUGUUAUGGCUAGGGGGACAUGGCGUCUUACCAAACCAUGGCAAACUCCGAAUACUUGGAAGUAAGAGCACGGGAGACAGAGCACCGGGUGCUAACGUCCGGACUCAAGAGGGAAACAACCCAGACCGCCGUUUAAGGUCCCAAAUAUUGACUAAGUGGAAAACGAAGUGUGAAGGCUAAGACAGUCAGGAAGUUGGCUUAGAAGCAGCCAUCCUUCAAAGAAAGCGUAAUAGCUCACUGAUCGAGUCCUCAUGCGCGGAAGAUGUAACGGGGCUAAGUCAAUAACCGAAAGCGCGGAUUUGCACGCAAGUGCAAGUGGUAGGGGAGCGUUCUGUAAGCCUGCGAAGGUGGUUCGAGAGGACUGCUGGAGGUAUCAGAAGUGCGAAUGCUGACAUGAGUAACGUUAAAGCGGGUGAAAAGCCCGCUCGCCGUAAGCCCAAGGUUUCCUGCUCUACGUUCAUCGGAGCAGGGUGAGUCGGCCCCUAAGGCCAGGCUGAGAAGCGUAGUCGAUGGGAAGCAGAUUAAUAUUUCUGCACCAUGUGCAAGUGCGAUGGGGGGACGGAGUGCGAAAGAUCAUCCGGGUGUUGGAUGUCCCGGUUUGCGAGUGUAGAAGGCCGACAGGCAAAUCCGUCGGCGGAUCUUCGAGACAAAGCAUCGAGGUUCUACGGAACCGAAGUGAUCGGAAGUGCUUCCAGGAAAAGCCUCUAAGCUUCAGCUUGUACAUGACCGUACCGUAAACCGACACUGGUGGGCGAGUUGAAUAUACUCAGGCGCUUGAGAGAACUCGGGAGAAGGAACUCGGCAAAUUGACACCGUAACUUCGGGAUAAGGUGUGCCUUUGUAGCGUGAAGAGAGAAACACUCGGAGCGUGAAGAGGCCUCAGAGAAUCGGUGGCUGCAACUGUUUAUUAAAAACACAGCACUCUGCAAAGACGAAAGUCGACGUAUAGGGUGUGAUGCCUGCCCGGUGCUGGAAGAUUAAGUGAUGGGGUGAGAGCUCCUGAUCGAAGUCCCAGUAAACGGCGGCCGUAACUAUAACGGUCCUAAGGUAGCGAAAUUCCUUGUCGGGUAAGUUCCGACCUGCACGAAUGGCAUAAUGAUGGCCACACUGUCUCCUCCCGAGACUCAGUGAAGUUGAAAUGUUUGUGAUGAUGCAAUCUCCCCGCGGCUAGACGGAAAGACCCCAUGAACCUUUACUGUAGCUUUGCAUUGGACUUUGAACCGAUUUGUGUAGGAUAGGCGGGAGGCAGAGAAAGCGCAACGCCAGUUGUGCCGGAGCCGACGUUGAAAUACCGCCCUGAUUUGUUUGAGGUUCUAACCGCGACCCGUAAGCCGGGUCCGGGACCGUGCAUGGCAGGCAGUUUGACUGGGGCGGUCUCCUCCUAAAGGGUAACGGAGGAGUACAAAGGUAUGCGCUGAUAUAGGCCGGUACCCAUUUUGUUUACUUUCGAUUGGCUUUGAAAGCUGCAGCAGGUGCUUUUUUCCCUGUGCUGCACGGACGCUGGUGCUGUUAUACUUUAGGUGGUUGCCUUAUCAACGCUGACGGUAAAGGUUACGGUGCCGGUGUAGGUGCCGGAAUUGUUUCCCAAUUAAAUCGAGUAGCACUCUUCAAUGUACUUAUCAAACAGCUUACGUUUGAUAAGCCGUUUGCUGCCGACCCAGAGGACGAAGGGACAGUUUUCAUCGUUGGAGAGCUCGCGAAUCUUGUUGACGCCGAUGCUGGAGUAGGCGGCGGCUUCUUCCAGUGUCAGGUUGGAUUUUUCCCAGAUGGGCACCUCUUUCAUGGCCAUUCUCCUUUCGCGGGGCGGGGGUUACACAUUGUAGGUCGUUUCGUGGGUCGCCAUGUUGUGCAGCACAUCGCCGCGCAGCAUUUUAUCGGCAUGGGCAAUGCGUUCCUCGCGGGUCUUCAGGUGAACCAUAUCCUCGUAGGCCUGCUUUG
rnacentral:rRNA from 1 species